rnacentral:tRNA from 2 species
GCCGAAGUGGCGGAACUGGUAGACGCGCACGUUUCAGGGGCGUGUGGGGUUUCCCGUGUGGGUUCGAGUCCCACCUUCGGCA